UAUAUUGGAUGCAGGGCUGCCUUUCUAUGUAGUCACACUGGGCCUCACACUUAGAAGGACCCCACAGUUGGUUUAAUGCUCUGCUAUUGCUGUCUUGAAAUUCUUAAUAAUUUUUUAACAAGGAGCUCUGUGUUUUCAUUUUUCACUGGACCUGCAAAUUAUGUAACUGGUCCAGACUGGAUAUAAGGAGUGAAGGAAAAGAGGCUAAAGUUAUUACACUUCAAUAUUUGGCUUAAACAACUGGGUGGGUGGUAGGGCACUUUGAGGUACAAUUUGGAAGAGAAAUGAAGAAUUCUGAUUUGAACAUGUUAACUAAGAGCUGCCUCUUAGACAUUGUGGUAUUUGUUGAUGGCUUCCACAGCAUUCGUUUUUCUCUUCGUGAUUCCUAACUAGACCUUGUUUUCCAGGCUCAUGGUUAGGGUUUGAUUGGUUCCAGCUCCAGCCACCCACAAACUGUCCUGACAUGGCAGGCUCUGCCCUACAGGGGCAAAGUGUCAAGUAAACAUAGAAGACUAAUUCUUUUUGUAAUUCUCUUUACCCCUAGAUUAAAGAACAAGGAGAUGGCUGGCUAUUUAAGAAGGAAAGGCAAAGGCUGCAGAAAUUGAGCCUAACGGCUUAUCAGAUGGGAUGGAUAAUUCUUUAAGUUUAAAAGAACUACUCAUUUUCCCCAAUAUCUGUCUUUGCCAUCUUCCUAUCUAAGGAACCUUUCACUUUUUAGCUGGGGACAUAGCUUUCUGGUAUGAGAACUACACUGCUCAAACUUCCAAUCAGCUUGUAUGCACUUGGUGAAUCUUACCUACCACAAACAGGAAGUCUGGAAAGUGAAAAUUUAUUUCCUUUUCACCAUGACCAGCCUUGUUCAGAACAUCUGAGAGGCACAGACCUGAGAAAGAAUCCCCAGGCUGAAGAGGUAGAAGUUGGCAGAAGUUAAAAAGCAAUGUCUCCACAAUGGAGAAGUGACAUGCUAAAGGAACCUGGCAUCCAGACAUUUCCUAACCCCCAAUCCCUCCUUACAUAUGACCUGCUCUUAGAGGAGUACAGCGUGGUGGUUAGGAGUAUGGACUCGGCAGCCAGAAAUCCUGGGAUCUGUUGCUUGUUAGCUGUGGGCCUUAAGCUAAGAACUUAACCUCUCUGUGCCUCAGUUGCUCCAUCUGUUCAAAUGAAGAUAACGAUAAUGAAGAUGAUAUCACCUGCUGUGUAGGAUUGUUAUGAAAAAUCAAGAAUUAAUAUUUGUAAAUCACUUACAGGGUCUGGCACAUAAUAAGUGCUGUGUGGGUGUUUGUUAAAUAAAAUAAUAUACAAUGACA